UAGACUAAGCCUCCUCAGGGUAAAUAUUCCUGCCUUUUGCUGGGGACAGAGAGGAAAAUUGUUUCUUAAGGAGAUGAGUUUUUCUCCAUGCUGGCUGGAGAUGUCCUCGUGGACAGUGUGGACAAGGUUAACACCCUAGGAAAGGCACACCAACGAGAUAGAAGGAAUGAGCCCCAGACAGUUUGUUCAAACAGAACUUGAAAGAGAUAUAAAAUAUUUUGUAUAAGCCACUGCUAUUUAGGGUUUCUCCUACAGGGAUACACUUAUCUCCUAAUUGAUCUGUGGAUUUAGUGUAGUCAACUAGAGGCAGAGGAAGAAGGAGCUUGCGUGACCUCUGUCAGCUCAAACAGCAGUGGGAGAGAGUCUCUCCCUUUCCAUCAGCAGGAGAUAAGGGAUGGGCUGUUUCUUUCAGAAAAUAUAUUCGAAGGGCACCCCCAGCUGACCUGUCUGAAACAUCAGGGAAUGCCUUUUUUCUUGUUAAAUAUCUUCACAUAAAUUCAUUUUUUUUUUGUUACUACAUCAGUCCUCAGUCUUUACCUCAUUUUACUUAUGAACAGCAAUGAGAAAAGUUGACUACUAUCUUGCUCCUGGAAACACUCUCUGAUUUUCUUCCUCCCUGACUAGUCACUCCUCAGUCUUUUUAGUUAUGUCCUCCUCUUCUGCCCAGUCUCUGAACCUGUGGUUUUCAAACUGCCAUAAUCAGAAUUACUUGGAGUCUUAAAGCAGUGCUGGGUACCACCUUCAUUCAGCUGGUCUGGUGUACGGCCUGAGAAUUUUCAUCUUCAUCAAGUUCCCAGGUGAUCCUGAAACUGGAGUUCUUCACUUCUCCUGGCACAUGGGAUCUGUUUACGCCGCAGGUCUCUGCAGCUGAGAAACAUGUUGCCACUCUGAAUGGCAGGCUACACCCUCCAGUGUUGCAGCAGACCCCAGCAGCUCGCCACCAGUUUCCUUUUUUGGCGUUCUUGUCUCAUGAAUUCAAAGAAUGAAAUCCACAAGGGAGGGAAGUGAGAUCCUGAGAUCCUGGACCUCAAGGUUUGGGCUGCAGCACUGUGUGAGUUUCUGCAGCAGCACUGUGUGAGACAGGCUUCUGCAGCAGAUGACCACAUCCAGCCCUGGGUCAGGCCACUGGGGCAGGACAGGUCAGGGCACCUGGCUUACCUCCACAUGGUGGGCUCUGCAGGACUGUGGGCCCAUGCUUGCCACCUGUACUCCAGUCUGCCUGGGUCACCAUUCCACAGUUCUGGGACAAGGGCUUGGCUUCAGCCCUAACAUACAAACAUUAGAGAUUAAGCUCCAUAGAUCAAGGAGUAUUUUCAGAAUAUUCACUGGUAUGUAGAUGAUCAAUAACUGAGAGCAUACCCUUCUAUGUAGUGUGUAGAGAAGGCAAAAGUGCCUGAGGCUAAUAUGGUCCAUGUUGGUUUUCUUGGCUUUCAUUUAUGUUCUUCUGGAAAAAUUUGGACUUCCCUCAUAACCCUAUUUUUGUUUAUAUAGGCUCUACUUUAGAAUAAUGUGAUCCUGAGCAGUAGCAGUCCCCCAAGCACAAAAACUGGUGUCACCUGGCAGUAGAGUACAGUUGGAAGAACACUUUGGAAUAAAAAGCCACUGGUAUCCAGUGAGUUCCCCUUGCCUGUUGCAGGUGGAUUGUCCUUGAGUUCUUCUAAAUUUAUUGAAGGCCUCCUUUUUGGUCUAGUGUCUCUUUGAAUCUGCCACAACAUCCUAUCAGAAAAGAAUUCUUUCCUUCCUCAAGAUGUUAGGGUCUAUAAACAAGUCAGGAUGGCGCCUGGCAUUUUGCCAGAGGGAGUGGUUUGUGAA